rnacentral:rRNA from 1 species
GACGUAGGGCGCGAGCGUUGUCCGGAUUUAUUGGGCGUAAAGAGCUCGUAGGCGGCUUGUCGCGUCGACUGUGAAAACCCGCGGCUCAACUGCGGGCUUGCAGCCGAUACGGGCAGGCUAGAGUUCGGUAGGGGAGACUGGAAUUCCUGGUGUAGCGGUGAAAUGCGCAGAUAUCAGGAGGAACACCGGUGGCGAAAGGCGGG